UGGGGAAUAUUGCACAAUGGGCGCAAGCCUGAUGCAGCCAUGCCGCGUGUAUGAAGAAGGCCUUCGGGUUGUAAAGUACUUUCAGCGGGGAGGAAGGGAGUAAAGUUAAUACCUUUGCUCAUUGACGUUACCCGCAGAAGAAGCACCGGCUAACUCCGUGCCAGCAGCCGCGGUAAUACGGAGGGUGCAAGCGUUAAUCGGAAUUACUGGGCGUAAAGCGCACGCAGGCGGUUUGUUAAGUCAGAUGUGAAAUCCUCGGGCUCAACCUGGGAACUGCAUCUGAUACUGGCAAGCUUGAGUCUCGUAGAGGGGGGUAGAAUUCCAGGUGUAGCGGUGAAAUGCGUAGAGAUCUGGAGGAAUACCGGUGGCGAAGGCGGCCCCCUGGACGAAGACUGACGCUCGGGUGCGAAAGCGUGGGGAGCAAACAGG
rnacentral:rRNA from 1 species